CCCUUAGAUGUCCGGGGCUGCACGCGCGCUACACUGAAGGAAUCAGCGUGCUAAAACCAUUGUCGAAAGGCAUUGGUAAACCCAUUAAAAUCCUACGUGAUUGGGAUCGGGAAUUGCAAUUAUUUCCCUUGAACGAGGAAUUCCCAGUAAGCGUGGGUCAUAAGCUCGCGUUGAUUACGUCCCUGCCCUUUGUACACACCGCCCGUCGCUGCCCGGGACUGAGCCGUUUCGAGAAAAGCGGGGACUGCUGCUGUCGGGGCUUUCGGGCCUUGGCUUCGGUGGAAACCGCUUUAAUCGCAGUGGCUUGAACCGGGCAAAAGUCGUAACA
rnacentral:rRNA from 1 species